rnacentral:misc_RNA from 1 species
GAUGAAGAACGUAGCGAAAUGCGAUAAGUAAUGUGAAUUGCAGAAUUCAGUGAAUCAUCGAAUAUUUGAACGCACCUUGCGCCUUUUGGUAUUCCGAAAGGCACACCUGUUUGAGCGUCAUGAAUACCUCAAUCUCCAUCUUUUCUUCGGAUUGAUGGGUGACUUGGAUGUUGAGCCCUGCUGGUAUGCUAUAUCAGCUGGCUUUAAACUUAUUAGCCGGCUCUGUACUGGAUCGGUUUGACUCGACGUGAUAAUAUUAUCGUUGAGGAUGCAUGUCUCAUGCAGCCGGAAAGUAUCAAAGCAGCUUCUAGCUUGCCUUUAGUGCACUUUUACAUUUUAGACCUCAGAUCAGGUGGGACUACCCGCUGAACUUAAGCAUAUCAAUAAGCGGAGGA